CAUGGCUCAGAUUGAACGCUGGCGGCAUGCUUUACACAUGCAAGUCGGACGGCAGCGGGGUAGUGCUUGCACUACUGCCGGCGAGUGGCGAACGGGUGAGUAAUAUAUUGGAACGUACCGGGUAAUGGGGGAUAACCAAUCGAAAGAUUGGCUAAUACCGCAUACGCUCUGAGGAGGAAAGCAGGGGACCUUCGGGCCUUGCGUUAUUCGAGCGGCCAAUAUCUGAUUAGCUAGUUGGUGGGGUAAAGGCCUACCAAGGCGACGAUCAGUAGCGGGUCUGAGAGGAUGAUCCGCCACACUGGGACUGAGACACGGCCCAGACUCCUACGG
rnacentral:rRNA from 1 species